AUGCAUGGCAUGGAGAAAAAUCCGUUCUUCUAUGGCAAGAUUAAAUAUAGCAACAUAAUUUGAUAUCGUAUGUAAUCAUAUUCCGUAUGUUCAGGGAUUCGAAUCUCGUAAUUAUCGUUGGUGAUUAAUAUCUCACAUAUCUUUGUAUUUAAUUGAUGAGAUACAUCUCCUUGUAUAUAAAAGUUGUGUAAUCGCGCUCUAUGAUGAUAUAUAUAAAGAAAUAUUUCUUCAUCUUUCCUGUCUUCUUCCUUUGUUCCUUUACAACAUGAUGUUUAUUUCAUACGUGAUAAGUGAUUUAAGUAAAACUAUUCUGUGUUUGAAUCUAGUCCAGUUGGGAGGAUUUUUUCUUGAUUUUUAUUUUUUUUUUGUCAACAGCUUGAAUUAAAUUAGCUUAAAAAGGUAUUAACUAAAGCUGUUGACA